CCUACGGGGAGGCUGCAGUGGGGAAUAUUGGACAAUGGGGGCAACCCUGAUCCAGCCAUGCCGCGUGUGUGAAGAAGGCCCUCGGGUUGUAAAGCACUUUCAGUGAGGAAGAACGCCUGGUGGUUAAUACCCAUCAGGAAAGACAUCACUCACAGAAGAAGCACCGGCUAACUCCGUGCCAGCAGCCGCGGUAAUACGGAGGGUGCGAGCGUUAAUCGGAAUUACUGGGCGUAAAGCGCGCGUAGGUGGCUUGAUAAGCCGGUUGUGAAAGCCCCGGGCUCAACCUGGGAACGGCAUCCGGAACUGUCAAGCUAGAGUGCAGGAGAGGAAGGUAGAAUUCCCGGUGUAGCGGUGAAAUGCGUAGAGAUCGGGAGGAAUACCAGUGGCGAAGGCGGCCUUCUGGACUGACACUGACACUGAGGUGCGAAAGCGUGGGUAGCAAACAGGAUUAGAUACCCGUGUAGUC
rnacentral:rRNA from 1 species